GAUAAAAUAUAUACAUAUUAAAUAAUAUAUACAAAAUUUAAAAUUAUAAAAAAAAAUUAAAAAAAAAUUAAAUAUACUACGAAAACAAAAUAGAAUAUUAAAAAAAAUUAUUUUAAUAUAAUAAUAUAAUUUUCCAUAUGGAGAAAAUAAAAAAUAAAUAAAAACCCUAACCGCAGUUCGUAGAGAACCGCAACUCAGGUGCACCCCCCUCCUCUGCCGCAACUCACACUGUCGGCUAACAAGUGUCGCAGAUCCGAACUACGACAAGCUUAAUCGCAUCUACCAACUGCGGUUAUGCACCGCCGCACCUCCUAGGUGCGGCACCCCUCAACUGUGCCUCCCAAGUGCGGCAUUUCCCAACCGCGCCUCCCAAGUGCAGAGUUUUGUGCGCACCUCCUCUGGCCAGAGUCAUCCCCAACCCCAACCCCAGUUCAAUCUCUCUCGUCAUCCCCAACCCCAACCCCCGGUUCAAUCUCUCUCACAACAUACAAACAACAUGAUCAACUAACCUAAUGCAAGAAAAAUAACAUUUAACAGAAGAACUAACCUGGACGCCUGUUGAAGUGCUAGAUCUCACCACCGC
rnacentral:lncRNA from 1 species